CCGGCCUGCAGUUCCCCGUGGGCAGGAUCCACCGUCUCCUGAGGAAGGGUGGUGAUGAAGUUAGUGGUGGUGAUGAAGGUGGUGGUGGUGAUGAAGGUGAUGGUGGUGAUAAAGGUGGUGGUGAUAAAGGUGGUGGGGGUUAUGAAUGUGGUGGUGGUGAUGGUGGUGGUGAUCAAGAUUGCGGUGGUGAUGAAAGAAGUGUUGGUGGUGAAGGUGGUGGUGGUGAUUAACGUGGUGGUGGUGAUGAAGGUGGUGGGCAGCACUCCCUUCCGCAUUGUCAGUGAGCGAGCUUUGUCAUACACUCACACUCUCUUACUCUCUUCCACAGUUUCUAUUGCUCUCUAAAUCAUACUUGAAAUAAGAUACGAAACGGUAAUUGCAGAGAUUGACUUCACGCCUCCAAAAUAUGACAUUACGCCUCCAUAUUAUAUAGUUAAGGGACGCAUAUUUAAACUACUCCAACCGAUCUUUAAAUAACCUGACCUCUAACGAGGGGGCUUCGCCUCCCUCGACCCCCCCAGCAUUGUAACACUGCACUGUGACUACAGCAGAAAAUGCAUAACUGGCAACUUUGGCCCGUGGGUAACAGCUGAGCCAGGCGGGACCCGGUAGGAGUGCCGAAAUUGGUGGGCAGGAGUGUUUGUAGGGAGCACUAAUUUUAUGUGGAUUUUCGAAUAGUACGGAGGCCCUGGGUCCCUAACCCCCGUACUAUUUGAGGGACGACUGUAUAUAUAUAUAUAUAUAUAUAUAUAUAUAUAUAUAUAUAUAUAUAUAUAUAUAUAUAUAUAUAUAUAUAUAUAUAUAUAUAUAUAUAUAUAUAUAUAUAUAUAUAUAUAUAUAUAUAUAUAUAUAUAUAUAUAUAUAUAUAUAUAUAUAUAUAUAUAUAUAUAUAUAUCCACCUAAUUUAUUAAGUAUGAAACCACCUACAUCUUUAAUUAUGUUUAUCAUAGGCCACCAUCUCUACUCAUUCCUUUCAGUGCUUUCCUUCAUGUAUGAUUACAUCAAAGUUUACCGUAUCAUUCUCCUCAACCCUAUCUCCCUGCCCACCAUUAUGACUACAGUUUAGUGUUGAAUAAGAAUUGUUUUGCAACUCCAAUUACCUCUUCCUUGUUAUUCAUGACCUUGCUAUUUACAUCUAUUGGAACAAUGAACUAAUUUCUGCCAAUGCUUAAUCUUCCCUUGGCUUUUUCAGGCUUCUGCCAUUCUUCAGUUUCUUUAAUCUAUCUUGACCAACUUAAAUUUACAAAUACCUUCAAUCAUCCUCCAUGGUGAAGAGGUCAGCACACCUAACUAUAAAUCCAUGAGCCUGGGUUCAAAUCCCAGCCCAGGCAGUCAGCACACAGCCCACCCAACUGCUCAUCAUCCCUUUCAGGGUGGUCGAUAAAUGGGUACCCAGGGAAACCUCAGGAAACCUCAAAAGUAAACUGUGAUAAUCCAGGUGUUACAUUGGCCCUGUGUCCCAGGGUAAGGGGUCAUUACUGGCCACAUUCUCAAGGACUAAUGUGAGAGAUGAGCAUCGAGUGUGCGUGCAUGUGUGUGUAUGUGUGGGUGUUAGUGGUGCCCUUUUCCCCACAUCUUAAGAGUAUACCCAGAGUUUACAUCAUAAUGAAAGACAAACAUCUUUAUCAACCUAUACACCACAAUGUCACAAAGAGUACAAAAAUGGUUGAAAAGUUUAAGGUACAUAUAAUAAAACCUUUGUUAUUAUAACAUUUUGUAUUCAGUAGUCAGUCCACCCUUUCCAACUUUAUAGAUGAGCUUCUCUGAUAAAACUUACACAAAGAAAAUAGUACAUUGAAAUCUUUUAAGUCCAUGCACUAUUGUUUGGUGUCUGCAAGAAUUGUUUUGCUAAAGUAUUUGUCCCUUCUAAUGUAGAAGUUGAUCCAUUAGAAUGUCUAUGUCUACCUUUCCAUGUAGGCUACAGUGGAGCCCCGAGACUAGCAUUUUUCUAACUAGUGACUUCAAGUCUAGUGAUAGGAUAGAAAGAGUUCUGAGUUUCAUCACUAACAAUCAAAACCAUGGAACUAGUGAAAAUAUUCCCAUUGGCCAGAAAGAAUGGGUGGGUAAGUUGCAUCAAGAUGACUCUAGGAGACAUUGUGUGGGUAGUGGUACGGGAGUUCAGCUGACCUGUUGGCCACGCAACAUUGUGCAACAUUACGCAAUAGAGCUAACAAGUCUUGCAAAGAUGGCACUGAACGUCCUGCUGAAUUGGGCGGGGCAGGGGAGCGGGGCAGCGAAUGUUAACAAAACACUGAAAACAGACAUGCCUGUUCUAAGUGUGGACAAUGUCACCUCUUCUCCAUCUCCUUUCCUUCUACAAAUGUUUUGUUCAACUAUGGUUGAUGUUUCCCCUAAAGGGUCACCUAUAUGCGAGAAUAUUGUAUUGGGAUCAGCUGAUCCACUGUUCCAUUUGACUCAUCACCUGCUGUCCCCACUCAGCCCUAUCAACCCCAAGGACUUUACUGGGUUUAUGAUAGACUGUUGCAUAUCUGGUUGCACAGAAGGGCGGUGAUGGUGGUGGUGGCAAGGUGGGCUCUCGGUAAGCUGAUGCCCUCCCAACUUUUAACUUCUUUAUUCAACAGAGCACAUUAGGAGCAUUUAAUGGCGAGUUUUUUGUUGCCUCUGCCUAUUAGUGGUUGUGUGUAUGUAUAAAUGUAAGUUUAUUGUUAAAAGCAGAUGAGAUUGAUCAUAAAAAUGUCAACUUGAGAAGUUUGUCUCUUUAUUUUUUAGUAUUUAAGGUUUGCCUCCAAACAAGCAGUUUCACAACUAGUGUCAUUUUAUUCAAUCUCUUACUAUCAGGGCCCAAUUGUAUAGGGAAUUUCAGAAAAUGUAUAUGUGUAUUUCUCCACGUCUAGGUAGUGCAUGGAUGUGUCAGCUUAGCUGUGCCAUAUAUAGUGGCCCUCAAAAGAGAGGCGUUAGGCAAGUAAUAUUCAUAAUGAUUUUGUUCUACAGGUGAUAUUUUUCCUCCAGUGUCUGUACUUAUGCCAGCAGAUAAGAUGCAUUCCCCCCCUCCCCCCCAAAAAAAAGUCUUUGGCACAAAUCAAAGCAUCACACUAAUCCUAUAUGCACAAUUGCAUUUUGUAGAGCUGUUACAGUUAUUGCUAUAUGCUAUACGAUUGGGUUACAUUCCUUGAAAACUGAUCAUAAAGGUAUAUACCAUUAUAUACAGAUAGCACUAUAACAUUCCUAAUCACUCAAAAAUAAUGAAAAAAUGAUCAUAAAUGAGACCCCCAACAAACUUAAGAGAAUUUACUUGUAUAAUUAAUUAAAAGUAGCACUCAUUUUCCUUCACACUGAUGCUUUAAAAUACUUAUUUACAAUACCAAGCUUUUCUUUUGCCUUUUACCCUGAGUGCUGGUAGACUUGGAUGCCAUUAUUGAUAACAGGAGAUGGAUUAAAAAAACACUUUCUGGCUUGCAAAACACUAAGAAAAUUACUGGACAUGUACGACUGCAGACAGAGACAGAGCCUAGUAUGGAUGAUCUCAUCACCACUGUGAAUUCAUGAUCAUGUAAUUCUACUACCACUGUGGCAUUGUGAUCACACCACCAAUCACAGACAGAUCAUACAAUGAAUAUUAGAGGAUCAUACUGUAUAAAAAUUGUUAUGAAAAUUCUUACAUUGUUUAAAGUAUUGAUUGUAGGCUACAUUGAUCUGUUGUACAGUGAUGCUUGCCUGUAUCCAAAAGCCUUUGGUUUGGAAAAAAAAAAGCUAUGCACUUUAAGGGGGCCGGCCAUUUUUUACCCAUUUUUCUUUAUUCAAUGGGUUAUUGUCAUGAGUUAUAUACCAGACAUAAGGGACACCCUACGUAUAAGACUUAGCCCCCCCAAAAAAACAAUCUAUCACCUUUCCAUUUUUUAGCAAUGACAAUUUUUUGGAAAAUUUUAAGUUUUUUUGAAAAGGCUAUUUCUACUAUAUUAAUUGCUCUACAUGGGAACAAUUACUAAUGUACAAAAACCAUGUUUAGGCCAAUGAAAGUAUAGCGAGAUAUUGUAUCAAUAAUCAUUAGUUUGGGGAAUAUAUAUUUUCAAACUUUCAUGGUUAUAAUUUCCCCCUAAAAAUUCAGACAUAAAUACAUCAUAAUUCAAUCACUUCAUAUACAAGAAAACUCGCAAUAAUUUGAUUCUUACAAGUUUAGGCAUGGAUUUGGUGUUGGUUUCAUCAAAAUCGGUUGAAAAAUGGUGGAGAAAUUGAAAUGCAAAGGUACAUAACUUACAUUUUGAGAUAUGGCCCGGUAAAGUUUUGAAUGUGUAACAUUCAUACAUAGCGAAGUGAUAUUAUGGCAUUUAUCCUUUCAUUUAUUUGUAAUGAUAUAUAAAAAAUGUCUUCAUGUUCAGUCAUUAGUUUCUCAAAGGGCAUACGCAGCUGAGGAAUUUUUUUUCUCAGUUUUUCAAUUUUGACUGAUUUUCGUCGCUUUUGACCGGCCGGCCCCCUUAAAUGUCAAAAUAUCCCCAUACAUGGUGUUUCAUUAAUGAAACCGUUAUCCUUAUAAUGAUGCAAAGUUAUGAUUACUUCCAAGUAGAGAUGAUAAAUCAAAAUACUUUACUAUUAGAGUUAUGUAAAUUUAGCUACGUCUUUGUACUAAAAGUAAAAUGAUUGUAAACUUAUUGAAUUUAAGAUGUUUAAAGGGACCCACAUGAAACAACAAAAAGUAUAAGUAUAUUCUGCCACAAGUUAUUGUAUUAUAAACCAAUUUAUAAUUUUUAUUAAAAUAAAAAAAUGUUGCUAAUAAUGCAAAAACAUUUUU